ACGCUGCUGUCCCUUCUGGGGGCGGUGCUAAUCCCGCGUCGACGCGCUGUUUACCGUAAACACCAGAAGAAGAAAACGACGCGGUCCGCCAUUAGUGUCGUUCGCUCGUGUCUUCAUUUGAGGAGUUCUCAUCAAGUCUGCACAUUUUAGCUGCGCGCGAGGCAGCGAGACGCCCCAGCCCGCGCUAUGGCGGCCGAACGGCGCGAGGACAAAGACGGCGAGCUGAACGUGCUGGAGGACCUGCUGACGGAAGCCCCGGAUCAGGACGAUGAGCUGUACAACCCGGACACGGAACGGGACCUGAGUGACAAGAAAGGAACAAAGAGGAAGAGCGAACGGUCUGAUAGCCAAGAUCUGAAGAGGCUCCGCCUUCCAUCAAGCCACGCCUCUUCCACUAAGAGAGGCUUGGGCUCAUCAGCGUCAUCCUCUAAGAAGUCGUCCAGCCCUCGCGGCCGCCCCUCUGCUGCUUACCGUCACGACUACUAUGAAGAGCGAAAGCGGCGGCGCGACUCCCGAGACGCCGUUCGGAGCCGCAGAGGUGAGGAUGGACGGCGCCGAGACCUCCAGAGGGGCCCGGACCUAAACCAGAAACUGGUUCGGGACGAGCGGCCAGCCAGCUCCGACCUCCGUGACGACAGCCAAUCAGAGGAUGAGGUGGUGGGAGAGUACGGCUCAGAGCAGGCAUCUGGAAGCUCCUCCCCCACUGCCUCCCAUGCAGAGGAGGAAGAAGAGGAGGAGCAGGAGGAAGAGGAUGAGGAGGAGGAGGAGGAGGAGGAAGAAGAAGGAAUGGAGGAAGAAGAGGAGGAAGGCGUGAAGGAGGAGGAAGAAGAGGAGGAGGAAGAGUAUGACGAGCGCCGUGGUGGAGACAGUAACGACUACGACACUCGCAGCGAAGCUGGCGGGUCGCGCUCCGCCUCCUCGGUCAGCUUCUCUGAAGAGGGCGAGUCUGUGCACUCGGGCUCUGCAUCAGAGGCUUCAGGUUCCGAUAAGAAGCAGGAGAAGCUGUCGUCGUCUGUGCGAGCCGUUCGUAAAGGCGUGGAAAAUCCCACCAGCAAGCUGCGCUACAUCCUGCGUGACGCUCGCUUUUUCCUCAUCAAGAGCAAUAACCACGAGAACGUGUCCCUGGCUAAAGCCAAAGGAGUCUGGUCCACGUUACCGGUCAACGAGAAGAAGCUGAACGCGGCGUUUCGCUCGGCGCGGAGCGUCAUCCUCAUCUUCUCUGUGAGGGAAAGCGGAAAAUUUCAAGGUUUUGCUCGGCUGGCCUCAGAGUCUCAACAUGGCGGCUCUCCCAUCCAUUGGGUGCUUCCUGCCGGCAUUAAUGCUAAGAUGCUGGGAGGAGUCUUUAAAAUCGACUGGCUCUGCAGGAGGGAGCUGCCCUUCAUCAAGACGGCCCACCUCUCCAACCCAUGGAACGAGCACAAGCCGAUCAAAAUUGGACGAGAUGGACAGGAGAUCCAGCCGGACGUCGGCGCUCAACUCUGUGGACUGUUUCCAUUGGACGAGAGUGUGGAUGUUCAUCAGGUGUCUCGCCGCAUUCGGCACAAACGCAGGACACCGACGGAGCCGCGGCCCCGAGGCCGACCGCCACUGAGAGAACCGGGAAGGUUAGCCAAUCAUCAAGCUCCUCCCCCGCAUCCUGUACUGCUGCAACCACGGUGCCACCCGCUGCCGGACCAUGGAUACAACGGCGACCUUUACCUGGCGGCGCUCAGGUGGUGGUUGGUCGCUGCGCCCCUCUGCGUCUGGUUGGAGGCUGACGGUCAGGCAGGAAGUAACGUUAACGUCUGAUGCAGGUUUAUUUGUGGUGUUUGCCGUAGCAGCAACCCGUCUGGUUGAGUUCUGAUCAGUUCUGAGGGGAAGUCUUCCGCUGGCGUAAACGUCCUGUCAAGCUCUCUGUCUUUGCAGGAGUUUGGUGCUUUGGAGUUAAAAACCAUUCAGCUUUAGUGGGACUGGCUCGGCUUUUCAAAAUAAGAGCACCACUGGCCGGACUGAUGGUGAGGGGAGGACGUGCAAGGUAGAGCUAAAGCAAAACGAGAGUAAGGGACUGGAUUCCGUGUGAGAAGGGGGAACAGGUAAGGGGGGCAGGGGGUGGGGCCUGAGGACUGUUGGGGCCAGGGUACCCACCUCUUGAGGUAAAUAAAGGACAAAUGAAUAAAAAAAAGAACUUCUUGGACUAAUGGUGUUCCCCCCCCCCCCCCGCCCUACAUCAAGAGGACACUGUUGCCCCCCACCCCCCAUGCUUCCUCGCACCCCUACCCACCCCCCUGGCACACGCAGAGAAUGAGGACUCCGAGCCAGGUUGUUAAGGACGGACUGUUUUGUGGGCGGGGUCUCUGGCCCUGAAUGGGAGGGUGGGUGGAGCUAACGAGAAGGAAGGCGUGGAAAGGAAUGGACAGUUUUUUUGUCUUGGACUGCUAGUCUGAGAAGGGAGGGAGGGGCUGAUGGGAGUGGGAAUUUAUGUUGCUUGACAGAACUUCAUCAUCAUCAUCAUCAUCUCCUCACCCUUUCAAAAUAAGAGGGGUUAAAAAGCACUUAAGUGGACUGAUGAGGAGAAAAACUGUUUGUGUAAAAAGUGUUGCCCCUCCUUCAUAGACGACAGAAGCGGCGUCGGCUGGAAGAGUACGACAUCCACAGCAGGAAGCGACCGCGAGCCGACGGCCUACCGGACUUUGUACAACGAGCAGGAUUCCUCCAGGACCCACGGAACCAGCCGGUGGACAGGAGGUUCUCGGGCGUCAGGAGGGACGUCUUCCUCAACGGGGUGAGU